AGCAGCCGCGGUAAUUCCAGCUCCAAUAGCGUAUAUUAAAGUUGUUGCAGUUAAAAAGCUCGUAGUUGAACUUCAGACCUGGUUGGGCGGUCCGCUUAACGGCGUGUACUGUCCGACUGGGCCUUACCUCUUGGUGAGCCGGCGUGCCCUUCGCUGGGUGCGUCGGGGAACCGGGACGUUUACCUUGAGAAAAU
rnacentral:rRNA from 1 species